rnacentral:rRNA from 1 species
UGGCGGCGUGCCUAAUACAUGCAAGUCGAGCGAACUGAUUAGAAGCUUGCUUCUAUGACGUUAGCGGCGGACGGGUGAGUAACACGUGGGCAACCUGCCUGUAAGACUGGGAUAACUUCGGGAAACCGAAGCUAAUACCGGAUAGGAUCUUCUCCUUCAUGGGAGAUGAUUGAAAGAUGGUUUCGGCUAUCACUUACAGAUGGGCCCGCGGUGCAUUAGCUAGUUGGUGAGGUAACGGCUCACCAAGGCAACGAUGCAUAGCCGACCUGAGAGGGUGAUCGGCCACACUGGGACUGAGACACGGCCCAGACUCCUACGGGAGGCAGCAGUAGGGAAUCUUCCGCAAUGGACGAAAGUCUGACGGAGCAACGCCGCGUGAGUGAUGAAGGCUUUCGGGUCGUAAAACUCUGUUGUUAGGGAAGAACAAGUACGAGAGUAACUGCUCGUACCUUGACGGUACCUAACCAGAAAGCCACGGCUAACUACGUGCCAG